GGGUCCUUAGCUCAGGGGUAGAGCGCUUCCUUGACAUGGAAGAGGCCGCUGGUUCGAUCCCAGCAGGACCCACCA
rnacentral:tRNA from 1 species